rnacentral:rRNA from 1 species
UACAGAGGUCUCAAGCGUUGUUCGGAUUCAUUGGGCGUAAAGGGUGCGUAGGCGGCGCGGUAAGUCGGGGUGUGAAAUCUCGGAGCUUAACUCCGAAACUGCAUUCGAUACUGCCGUGCUUGAGGACUGGAGAGGAGACUGGAAUUUACGGUGUAGCGGUGAAAUGCGUAGAUAUCGUAAGGAAGACCAGUGGAGCGAAGGCGGGGUCUCUGGACAGUUCCUGACGCUGAGGCACGAAGGUCAGGGGAGCAAACGGG